rnacentral:rRNA from 1 species
CUACGGGGUGCAGCAGUGGGGAAUAUUGGACAAUGGACCAAAAGUCUGAUCCAGCAAUUCUGUGUGCACGAUGACGGUUUUCGGAUUGUAAAGUGCUUUCAACAGGGAAGAAGUUCUGACGGUACCUGUAGAAGAAGCGACGGCUAAAUACGUGCCAGCAGCCGCGGUAAUACGUAUGUCGCAAGCGUUAUCCGGAUUUAUUGGGCAUAAAGGGCAUCUAGGCGGCUUAGUAAGUCUGAUGUGAAAAUGCGGGGCUCAACUCCGUAUUGCGUUGGAAACUACUAAGCUAGAGUAUUGGAGAGGUAGGCGGAACUACAUGUGUAGAGAUGAAAUUCGUAGAUAUAUGUAGGAAUGCCGAUGACGAAGGUAGCUUACUGGACAAUUACUGACGCUGAAGUGCGAAAGCUAGGGGAGCAAACAGGAUUAGAUACCCUGGUAGUC